rnacentral:rRNA from 1 species
GUAAGGAAUAUUGGUCAAUGGAGGCAACUCUGAACCAGCCAUGCCGCGUGCAGGAAGACGGCCCUCUGGGUUGUAAACUGCUUUUAUCCGGGAAUAAACCUGCCUUCGUGAAGGUAGCUGAAUGUACCGGAAGAAUAAGGAUCGGCUAACUCCGUGCCAGCAGCCGCGGUAAUACGGAGGAUCCAAGUGUUAUCCGGAUUUAUUGGGUUUAAAGGGUGCGUAGGCGGCCUGUUAAGUCAGGGGUGAAAGACGGUGGCUCAACCAUCGCAGUGCCCUUGAUACUGAUGGGCUUGAAUGGACUAGAGGUAGGCGGAAUGUGACAAGUAGCGGUGAAAUGCAUAGAUAUGUCACAGAACACCGAUUGCGAAGGCAGCUUACUAUGGUCCUAUUGACGCUGAGGCACGAAAGCGUGGGGAUCGAACAGGAUUAGAAACCCUUGUAGUCC